rnacentral:snRNA from 1 species
GUGCUUACUUUGGUAGCACAUAUAAUAAAAUUGUGAUGGUACAGAGAAGAUUAGCAUGGCCCAUGCACAAGGAUGACAUGCAAAUUUGUGAAGCAUUCCAUUUAAAA